rnacentral:tRNA from 6 species
GCCUGCGUGGCCCAGUGGUUACGGCGCGGGAUUGCUAAUCCCGUUUCCCUUGUGGAUUCCCAGGUUCGAAUCCUGGCGCAGGCG